rnacentral:rRNA from 1 species
GCAGCCGCCGCGGUAAUACAGAGGGUGCGAGCGUUAAUCGGAUUUACUGGGCGUAAAGCGUGCGUAGGCGGCUUUUUAAGUCGGAUGUGAAAUCCCUGAGCUUAACUUAGGAAUUGCAUUCGAUACUGGGAAGCUAGAGUAUGGGAGAGGAUGGUAGAAUUCCAGGUGUAGCGGUGAAAUGCGUAGAGAUCUGGAGGAAUACCGAUGGCGAAGGCAGCCAUCUGGCCUAAUACUGACGCUGAGGUACGAAAGCAUGGGGAGCAAACAGGAUUAGAUACCCGUGUAGUCCCUGUCUCUUAUAC